rnacentral:sRNA from 1 species
GUGAGCGGACCGCCGAAUCCUGCCGCCGCUCACAGAAACGAAACGGACGGCAGGAGCGGGGGACCCAAUCUCUACGGCGCAUCGUUCUUGCGCCUCGGGGUGAAGCCGUGUGUGUGACACGGCCGGGAUGGAUCGUCCCGAACCCGACAGCUCACCUCGUAGGCGUGGAGGAUCA